UGGGGCCGGGGACGGGGAAGGCGCCGGGGCGCAAGGCACGCCUGUCCGGCCCUGGGGUGGCCUGGACCGUUCCGUCUUGCUCUGGAAGGACCAGCGUCCCCGCGUGGGUCAGGAGGCAGCCAUUGGCGGAGCCCCCGUCGGAGCCCAGGCCCCGUCCUACCGCCGGGUCCCGUCCUUUCCCGUCGGGAAGCACUCUCUGCUGGCGGGGGCUCUGAGCUGGAUUUUUAUUACCAUGGCCUCUGCCCCUGGCUCCUCCCAGGUGAUCCGCACUGUACACUCCACGGAGCAGCGUCACACCUGUCAGCUCACUUUCCCAGCUGCUCUGUGAGAGGGUCAGGGGUCAGCCCUGCCUGCUCCUAGGCCUUUCCUUUUCGCGCUGUCUGUGGCUGCUUUCCCCGAGGACAGAGCCAGUCUGCCCAGAGAACCUAAAACAUUUACUCUCCGGCCCCUUGCAGAAAAGGUCAUGAUGUGAACAGCCGAGGCUGGUAGUAACCACCUUCCUGUCUCUGCUGUACCCGUCUCGGCUAAUCCAGCCGGACUUCUGGUGGUGCUGGAGGUUAAACGGCACUGCGAGGCAAGAGGAGAUUAGUCUUGGGCUUUAACAAACUUCCCGCAAACAGAGUAUCUGAAAAGAAACAUUUGUUGAAGACACCACUGUUGGAGAAUGUGUCACCAGACCCACGGUCCAUGUCUUGGCUGAGGCCUGAGAUCUGAUUCAGCUCCUUGGUGGGGAGGCGAGCCCUGGAGCCGGUCGUCCGGGGAUAAUGGAAGCUCAGAGACACUAAGGAAGCCGUGUGGUUGAUGAGAAGAGGACCAGACGGCCACCCAGGCCAGCUCCCCCGCUGCCCCACAGGGAGAGCCUGGGCCAGGGCAGAAGAAAGCUAGAGGCGGAACGCAGGGAAGCAAGGGCUUGCAGCCCCCGGUGAGGAAUUUGGACUUUAUCCUGGAGGCCAGUGGGUCUCAAUCCUGGCUGCACAUCGGAUCCUCUGGAGAGCUCUAAGGAUGACUACUGCCUGGGUCCUACCCCAGGAAGCCUGACUCGGCUGUUUUUUUGGUUUUGUUUUGUUUUUUAUAUUGGAGUAGAGUUGUUUAACAGUGCUAUGUCAGUUUCAGGAGUACAGCAAAGUGAUUCAGUUAUACAUAUACAUGUAUCUAAUCUUUUUCAGAUUCUUUUCCCAUUUAGGUUAUUACAGGAUAUUGAGCAGAGUUCCCCGUGCUGUAGAGAAGGUCCUUGUUGGUUAUCCAUUUUAAGUAUAGCAGUGAUGCAGCUGUUGUUUUUGAAGCUCUCCAAGUGAUGCUGACGUGCAGCCAGGCUGUGAUGAGAACUGCCGUCAUGUUGUCACACACGGUCACGAGGCCUGCUUUUCACUGACCCUUCGCAGGGACUCCUGGGCCCGAGGCAACGCCCUCGUGCCCCAGCUGCCCCGAGAGCCCUCACAGAGGCGUUACCCUCUUCUCCCAAGCCAGUCUGCGAGCUCCGGUCGCCCCACACUGUCCCAUCCGUUUCUGGCCCCCGCCCCCCGCCUGGGUCUGCCCCCGGCACAGCCGCUGGGGAGCCAGUGUCGCCCUCACCAGGGUCGGGGGCUCGGGGGCCGCGGGAGCUGGGGGUCGCGGCGGGGGGAGCAGCCCCCCCCGCCCCCCAGAGGGCGCUCAGCCUCUCGCACUCCGGAAGCCUUUGCGCCCGCUAAAGCUUGUAGCGAGGAGCUCCAAACAUUGCCAUCAUACUGAUGACAUUUUAUUGUUACAGAGAAAAAUAAUUUAAAAAUAUAUGCAUCAUCCACAUUUCAAUUUUUUUCUCUCUGGAAACUUUAAUUCCCCACGUGGCUGGAACAUAAACAGACCAAGAGGACCACGGUGACCCGCAGAAAGCAAGUGAACGGAACUGACCUCCCGGGGACUGUUGUUAUUCUAGAGUCAGCGAGUUGAGAGCUUUGCCCCGCAGGGUCUUCAUCUCCUCAAACACCUUUUCUCCUGCCUUCUCCAGUGGCUGUGCUUGGUCUCUCGCCUCUCUAAGCAUAUACAUCAAACACAGACCCGGCAAGGCGCAUCAGGGCCCUCAUGAAGCACCACCAACCUGCUGCCGGGCCCAGUGUUGCGAGAGAUGCCUUGCGAAGGUCGGAGGGCUGUUUGUCCGCAGACACAGUUGAAACCACGCUUAGCGAUCCCUUACUUACCAGUGGAAACACCCGACUGGUAAGUGGCUCAAGCCUGGUUUCCAGUCUGAGCCGCACCAGUUUCUCAGCAGAGACACGUGACCUACGCUCUCAGCCGCCGUUUCCAGACGCGCACCUGGUGUGCAUCCCGUCCCCCAGGAUUGCUGCAAAGGGGAAACGAGAACGUAUUCGUACACAUCCCGGCGUGAUGGCUUCUAAAGGCCCAGUUGGCAGGAGCUGGUUCUUCAUGUUGAUGAGUCAAGUGGACGCACAGUAUCUCUGACUUUGGUAAUAGCUCCAGAAGGUGGGAAUCAAGAGGGAGGGCUCUGCACCUGGGUGGAGGAGUGGCUGAUGUGGAGGCCAGAUGUCGCCGGUGUGUCGAGGGGCAGAACUUUCCAAAUAUCUGGGAGGACGUGAUGAGUGUAUUUGGUUGGAAGCACAGAUGUCUAAGGGCUGUGAGCUCAGCUAUACGAUCUGCCCAGAUAGAAGAAUUCAAUACAGAAUUAAGUGCUUCUCCCCUAUAUUCACAGCAGCACUAUUCACAAUAGCCAAGACAUGGAAGCCACAUAAAUGUCCAUCGACAGAGGAAUGGAUAAGGGAGAUGUGGUACAUGUAUACAAUGGAAUAUUAGCCAUAAAAAAGAAUGAAAUAAUGCCAUUUGCAGCAACAUGGAUGGACCCAGAGAUUCUCAUACUAAGUGAAGUAAGUCAGAAAGAGAAAGACAAAUACCAUAUAAUAUCACUUAUAUGUGGAAUCUAAAAUAUGACACAAAUGAACUUAUCUACAAAACGGAAACAGACUCACAGACAUAGUGAACAGACUGGUGGUUGCCAAGGUGGGGGAGGAGUGAAUUGGCAGAUGCAAACUAUUAUCUAUAGGAUGGAUAACCAACAAGGUCCUACUGUAUAGCACAGGGAGAUAUAGUCAAUGUCCUGUGAUAAACCAUAAUGGAGAAGAAUAUGAAAAAGAAUAUAUAUAUGUAUAACUGAAUCACUUUGCUGUACAGCACAAACUAACAACACUGUAAAUCAACUAUACUUCAGUAAAAUUAAAAAAAUAAAAUUAAGUGCUUCUGAAACAUUUUCUAAAGAGGGUGAAAUGUGAAGUUUUGGCAAAUACCCAAAAGUUUUGA